rnacentral:rRNA from 1 species
AGUGAACGCUGGCGGCAGGCCUAAUACAUGCAAGUCGAACGGCAGCACAGCAGAGCUUGCUCUGUGGGUGGCGAGUGGCGGACGGGUGAGGAAUACAUGGGAAUCUGCCCAGUCGUGGGGGAUAACGUAUGGAAACGUACGCUAAUACCGCAUGCGCCCUUCGGGGGAAAGCCGGGGAUCUUCGGACCUGGCGCGAUUGGAUGAGCCCAAGUCGGAUUAGCUAGUUGGCGGGGUAAAAGCCCACCAAGGCUACGAUCCGUAGCUGGUCUGAGAGGAUGAUCAGCCACACUGGAACUGAGACACGGUCCAGACUCCUACGGGAGGCAGCAGUGGGGAAUAUUGGACAAUGGGGGCAACCCUGAUCCAGCCAUGCCGCGUGUGUGAAGAAGGCC